rnacentral:rRNA from 1 species
CAGUAGCCGCGGGAACACGAAGGGGGCUAGCGUUGUUCGGAAUUACUGGGCGUAAAGCGCACGCAGGCGGCUCGAUAAAUUAGAAGUGAAAGCCUUGGGCUUAACCUGAGAAUUGCUUUUAAGACUGUCGAGCUAGAGUCCAGAAGAGGGUAGUGGAAUUCCGAGUGUAGAGGUGAAAUUCGUAGAUAUUGGGAAGAACACCGGUGGCGAAGGCGGCGACCUGGUCCUUUACUGACGCUGAGGCGCGAAAGCGUGGGGAGCAAACAGGAUUAGAUACCCCCAGUAGUCCCUGUCUCUUAUU